rnacentral:rRNA from 1 species
UCCUACGGGAGGCAGCAGUGGGGGAUAUUGCACAAUGGGGGAAACCCUGAUGCAGCGACGCCGCGUGAGUGAAGAAGUAUUUAGGUAUGUAAAGCUCUAUCAGCAGGGAAGAAAAUGACGGUACCUGACUAAGAAGCCCCGGCUAACUACGUGCCAGCAGCCGCGGUAAAACGUAGGGGGCGAGCGUUGUCCGGAAUGACUGGGCGUAAAGGGUGCGUAGGCGGCAUAAUAAGUUAGAAGUGAAAUACCCAGAGCUUAACUCGGGUGCUGCUUCUAAGACUGUUGAGCUUGAGUGAGGGAGAGGU